AAUCUAAGUGAAACUUUCACUUUGUUGACAUCUUCCACAAAGUGCAUAACCAUGUCUCUCGAACAAAUUCUUUUUUUUUUUUCUUCCACAAACAUCAUAAUUGAAGGGAAAAACAUUUUGCUUAAAACCAAGAGAAAGGUGCACAUAAAUGAUAAUAAUAAUUUCUUUUCUAUCUUAACUAUUAUUCACAAAAACUGAAGUUAAAAGUUGAGCAACUCACCAAUGGAUCAAAGG
rnacentral:misc_RNA from 1 species